CGUAUAUUAAAGUUGUUGCAGUUAAAAAGCUCGUAGUUGGAUUUGUGGCGUAUGGUGUGUUCCGGGCACUUGUUGUCUGAGUAACCUGCUGUUGCCAUCCUUGGGUGGAACCUGUGUGGCAUUAGGUUGUCGUGCAGGGGAUGCCCAUCAUUUACUGUGAAAAAAUUAGAGUGUUCAAAGCAGGCUUAUGCCGUUGAAUAUAUUAGCAUGGAAUAAUGAGAUAGGACUUUUUUACUAUUUUGUUGGUUCGCGUAAAGAGGUAAUGAUUAAUAGGGACAGUUGGGGG
rnacentral:rRNA from 1 species